CCUGCUUUAGAGCUUCUACUAAGAUCAUCUAAUAAUUGAAAAGUUGGUGGUCCCUGGUUGCUGUAGUCUGCAUGCUUAAGUAUCCUUAGGCAAGAUAAUGAAUGACCAUAAAAAAACGUGGACAUAGAUUUGAAUGCUAAAGCAGAGUUACAAUGCAUUAUAAAGGAACUAGUCUAUUUAACAUCUUUACUCCCACGGGGGCCAAUGUGGGAAAACUCAUUUGGACAUCAUGUGAGUUACUGAGGUCACCUGAGCAAAGCGCAGGUGUGUGCGCUUGUGUGGGUGCGGCUGUGACAGGCACCUUCACGCCUGGUGGGUGUGGCCCUGCCAGGUGGUUGGCCACACCUGAAGAUCAUCACACACCUGCAGCUGAUCAAGCCUCGUCGGAGGAGCUACUUAGGAGUGUGGUGGAGCUCUCUCUGACGUUUGAUCAUUAUGAGGAGCCUGGAAAUGAGAGCGCAGCUAGGACGGGGUGCAUGGACAUUUGGAAGCGAGGACAUAGGGCACAGACACUGGGAGGAAGACACGGCACGGGAGUCUGGGGCACACAGGGAUUUAUUGUUGUGUGUUAUUUACGUCACUGUAAAUAAACGCACUGCUUGCAUUGAAGAGUCCUCCAUUUGGGUCCUCCCUUCCCUCAUCCCCACAAGCUGCCAGCGCAGCCGUGACAGUUUUCUACAUUCCACAGGACCUCAACUCCCAAAGUCUUCUUUCUCUCACACUCCUAGAACUACAGUGACCUGAUACAACUUGAAAACAUUCAAAAUAUUUUCCCCCUUCAUUAUUUUUGGUCACAUUUACAUGUUUUCAGAUCUGGUUCCUGUCCCACACAGCAAUGAAUGCAUUUGAAAGCAAAUCUGAAUUCUUGGCUCAUGGUACUUAGACAUGCAGACUACAGCCGCCAGGUAUUGAAAUGACCUGCACAACAGCCACUCCACACCGGCUCCUCCAUGGAUUUAUAGACAUUUUCACAAUUCAAGUAAUUUGCUACUAGUUCAGUUUUAAAAUUCCUUGGAAUUUCAAACUCUUGCUGAAACUAAACAAAACAGAAUAAAAACAGAUAUCUGGAAGUUAUUUUCUCUAUAACUAGUCAUAUCAGUCCUAUAACAAUGAUGGUGUUGCUGCUAUUCUUGUAACUCUUUCCGAGCUGACCUGAACUACCAGUGUCAUUGAAAAAAAAACCCUAAAAAAAACCCCAACUUUUAUUUAGCUGCUAAUACAACACCUCUAAUACAACACCUCUCACUUUAUUUCUCACAGUCUCACCCGAUUAUGUCUGGUGAGCAGCACUUAAACAUUGAAUCUACACUAGUCUCAAACUCUUCU